rnacentral:rRNA from 1 species
AUUGAACGCUGGCGGCAGGCUUAACACAUGCAAGUCGAGCGGGGGAAGGUAGCUUGCUACCGGACCUAGCGGCGGACGGGUGAGUAAUGCUUAGGAAUCUGCCUAUUAGUGGGGGACAACAUCUCGACAGGGAUGCUAAUACCGCAUACGUCCUACGGGAGAAAGCAGGGGAUCUUCGGACCUUGCGCUAAUAGAUGAGCCUAAGUCGGAUUAGCUAGUUGGUGGGGUAAAGGCCUACCAAGGCGACGAUCUGUAGCGGGUCUGAGAGGCUGAUCCGCCACACUGGGACUGAGACACGGCCCAGACUCCUACGGGAGGCAGCAGUGGGGAAUAUUGGACAAUGGGGGGAACCCUGAUCCAGCCAUGCCGCGUGUGUGAAGAAGGCCUUAUGGUUGUAAAGCACUUUAAGCGAGGAGGAGGCUACUUUAGUUAAUACCUAGAGAUAGUGGACGUUACUCGCAGAAUAAGCACCGGCUAACUCUGUGCCAGCCGCCGCGGUAA